AUAAUAACAUCGAGGAUAUCGUAAUCAGUAAGGCGAUUCCUCUAGGGCGAAGCUCUUUCGUGGCACUACAGUUGGAGCUGACUUUUGCGAAUAUCCCUAAUGUGGAUAUCUCGGGUGCACAAUUUUUGGUAGUCAUAAACGUUUGAC
rnacentral:snRNA from 1 species